AGAUUGGUCCAUAUUCUACCCUUUUAUUCUUCCAUUCAUUCACGUUCCCUAAAACCGCGGUUACGAAAAUACUUCAUCAUUCACAACCAUAACUUUCAAUCUUCCCCUUCAACCUUCUUCUACAGCGGUUUUACAAAUCUGUUUCUUUUUCAAGUGCAAAAACGAUCCCUCCUUUCUCUCUUCCUCCGUUCUUCCUCUUCUUUUCUCUCUCCAAUCUCCGACAACGAUUGUCGCUGAAAAGUGCAACAGGCGGCGGCAUCUUUUUGCAAUUUUAAUUAGUUUAUGUAAUUGAUGAUUUUGUGUGUUAUUUGUAGGUAAUUCUUCGGUUCUGAUCCGAUCUUCGACGCCAAAAGGAACAAAGAACCUCCCCUUUCCAUCAAAGAUGCCAACGAAAGGCGAUCAGCUAGCGUUGGUUGAAUAUUUUGGACCAUAAAAUACAGGAAGAAUAUCAACUAUAAAGCAGAGCAACAAUAAAAUACAGGAAGAAUCAAUCAGAUGCACAACUCUGAAUCGGCAAAGUUGGGUGAGAUCUUUCCGAGUUUAUGUUAUUUUCUCUUUAAUCUCUCUUCUUCUCUCUCAAACUUUCUGAAGGGUUUGUGAAAUUGAAAAUCAUGAAUAGCUUUUGGGUUUCUUGAUGUUUGUGAUUUCACUGUGUUUGAUGUUUGUGGUUCUUUAACGUGAACAAUGGUCUUUCUCUCUCUUUUCUUCAUAUUUUGAAGGGUUUGUAUUUUGAAGAUGUUGAUUUUGUUCAACCAUAGUUUAAAUUGAAUGGAACUCUAGACCAUCUUCUUUGUGCUUGGUUUCUUCAUUUGCAGAGAAAUUGGUGAAAGAGCAAGCAUCGAUGAACACAGUUUGAUGAUGUUGUUGAGUGGUUUCGUUCGCGUUUGAACCUGUGGUAUUCGGUUUUCAACGUUUUAUGAGGAGUAUUGAGUUGAAACAACUCUAAAUCGGCCAUCAAGUGUUUGUUAUAAUCAAGCAAUAAUUAUGGCUGGUGAUUGCAACAGGUUGGACGGACGAGGUUGACCUCAUGAUGUGUUUAUAAACAAUCGAACAUGGAUACUGCCAACAAAAUCCAUAGGCUGGAAAACCAUAAGUUGCCGAGAUUAUGGAGUUGAGGAGCAAAGGUUAUAACACAAGGGGGAAUCUUUGAAUCAAAAGAAGAUAAGCCGCUGACUUAAUGUCGAGUGAAUUAUGGCGUCGAUUUCUCCUUUAAAAGAUAAGUCAUUUUACAUUCUUUGUUGAUUGAUCAUAAUAGACUAUUGUUUGUUUGAAAAUGCUUUGUACUAUAAAUGCUUCACACUCUCAAUUGGGUUGCUGCUCUGUGCGUAAAGCAGGAUUUCGAACACAGACACCAAGUCGGAAUGUUUUCACAAUAAGGAAGACACACGCUGCACGCAUCACGACAUAUGCCAUUAGUUUGCAACCAGCUACAACAACGACUUGACAAGAUAUGAUGAGUAGUUGAGGCUGUAGUAAAACUAACUUCGGAGAGAUGUUGUUGUCAACUUGGUUUCUACAAAAUUGCAUGGAUCUCAUUACAGUUCAUUGAAGAGUCACAUUUUCGGUGACGGUUCUGCAGCUUCAUGGAGUCCUUUUCUUUGUUUUAGGGUGUCGUUGCUUCCGUUGGUUCUCACUAUACGGUUGUGGUGUCUGCUCUAGAAACAUGGCGGUUUGUGCGUAGUGGCUGAUUCCAGCAAAUUUGGAGAGAUGAUCUGACUUCUAACAUCGGAUUCGCAGUGGCAGUGCAAUGAAUUAGUUGCAGCUCAGAACUUGGCUAUGAAACGUGUUUGGGGCUAUGAAAUUAAGAUGAGGAGGCUUUCUGCCUAUGAGAUGAUGGGAUCAGCCACAACUAUUUCAGCAAUAUGACCGGAACAUUGACAAUGAAUCAGGGUUGAUGGAAAUAUCGGGCUUCACAAUUGCAAGUCAUCCCGAAUCACCAAUUGUUUAUUUGAGAUUAAAGAAGUCAAUGGAUUCUUUGAAUAAUGACAUACAUCUGCUUGAAAGUAUUGCUGAGCGUAUGAGAUCGCGAAGCUGUUUCUGAACCUGUUCGGUCAACCACUGACGAUGCUGGUGCCGAGUGGUUCUGAUACUGUGAUGCCUAAUCAGAAGUUGAAGAUAGGUGUGGUUUUGUCUGGUGGUAUCUGAAUGGAAUCAUCCCUAUUUCGAAUAAGGUCUGAACUGAGUGUAUGUGUUUAUGGUUCAUGUGAGGCAUGCCUUCAACAAAUUAUUGAUAGCUAUAACAAGUCUAAUGCCUGCUGUUUAGCAUGCCUUCAACAGAUCAAGGUGAAGUGAUUCUUUUAGCAGGUGCAAUUGGGUCUCCGCAGCUUAUGCUUCUCAGUGGAAUUGGACCAAGGCCUUAUCUUUCUUCAUGGUGACUGUUAAAUUCAAGCUUAUGCAUUUAUCUAUGCUCGAUGUAUUAUUAUUGCCUUGUGAGAUCGGAGUUUGUGCUUUUUCUUCUUUCUGAUGUUUGCCAACUGAAAUUGCAAACUUUAUUAUUACUUGAUGGAUGUAUAUGGUAGACUGUCAAGAAGUCCUGUUAGAAGUUUUUGUGGUUUGAGGAUCUGGUGUGUAACAGGAAAUCAAUAUCCUCACCGUCAUCUUCUUUCAAUUCGAUAUCCUCGCCGUCAUCUUCUCUUGAUUCCAUUUUCACCAGGUCUUAUAACCUGUCAUGGUGGUAACAGGAAAUCGAUAUCCUCACCGUCAUCUUCUUUCAAUUCUCCCCACCUCAUCUUUGCCGUUUCGUUUGGAUAAACAAUGUGUUAAGCUGUUCUUCAACUGCUGGGAAUGAGAAUUUAAAAUGAACAGGUAUCUGGUGAUAAGUCUGAUUUCACAACAAUGCAAGCUGAAGAAUCUGACAUGGAGGAAAAACUGAAGCAACUUCGAGAUGAGUUAAAUGAUGCUAAGUCCAAAUAUGAUAGGUUUUGAUUUUAUACGUGUGGCUUUUCAUAUCAGUGUUUAACUUGGAUUUAAAGAAGUCUCAUUUCCUAAUGUUACUUUUUUGUUCUGGACUGAAAGAACAAGAGUGUCAUUGGUUUUUAUGCCAAAUUAAUUUUUCAUAAAGAUUGAUUAUGUGGAAUUUGAGAGACAUGCUGCUGGUGGUUCAAACAUGCAUUAUUUUGACCUUCUUAUCAGACUAAAAUCUGAGCAAGAGCAUCUCUUCCGUAAUAUUCAGAGAAAUGAGUACCACAAUUUGUAUGAAUUUAUCAGUUCAAAGGGCUUGAAAAUCGUGAAUUUAGCUGAUGCCCAACCAACUGUUGGUGGUGUGGCUAAGGUUCUUAAGAAUGAUGACGAUGAUGCUGUCGAUCCACAUCUUAAGCGCAUCGGAAAUGAAGCUGGUGGAGAUUAAAGUGACGAGGAGGUGCCUAAUUUGUACUUAAUAUUGUUUUUAUCCUCUUCUGUAUAUCGAGUACCAAUGUACCAAUGAACCGAUGUACCAAUGAACACAAUUUGUAGUUCAACAACCAAUGAACACAAUUUGUAGUUCUACAACCAAUAUAUAGAAAAAUCAAUAGUCUCCAUAGGUUUCAAAGUUGACAUUCUCAACUUUAGUGUGUUGUUGGACGCAUAGAGAUACCUUGAAAUUGGAAUGUAUUUAUGCUGGAUGUGCGCACAUGUUUUGGCUGUUUGUCAAUGUAUGGUAUAUUCAAUUCUAAUUGGAUAUUGGUGUUUGAAUGAAAUGAAUAUGUGGAUUGGCUUUGGAUGCUUUA